UAUUAAAUGACCCCCCAUUCUUUGCUCCAGAUGGCCCUGAAUAUUACUUGGGGAAGCAGCUCAGAGAGCAGCUACCAUCUAGCAACUCCUCUCCUGGGUGCAUAGCCAGUGGUCAAAAGCAGCAGAUGCAAGCUGCCCUUUGUAUAUGCGAAAGAAAGAAACUUGGGACAAGAGGAGCACACAAGGAAGAAAAAGCUGUAAUUUGAAAACCUCCUUCCAGGAAACCUGUGCCAGAUCUAUCAGCCUGGAAAGUGAAGAGAAGCUGAGAACCUAUGUGUCUCUAUCUCCAUUGACAAAAUGACAGAUUUCUGAACAAAAUAGGAAAAGAUUGCUUCCGAGUUGCCUCAUCCCUUGACCUGAUUUCACCUCCAAGAUAACAUAUCUCCAACUUUACAGCAUUUAAUCAGAUCAAGGAUGGUCCUUUGAUUAUCAGACCCAUGUCUGUCUAUUAGCUUUAGAUCCAUCUGCCUUGAAGAAGAACAAAGAGUUGGCAUGGUAGAUAUGCACUUGUAUGAAAACCAAGUUGUAAACUUGUUGAGACAUGAACGCAGUUAGCAUAAGGCUGACGUCAACCUGAUGAGCAUAUCACAGAAUUAUGCAAACCCACAAAGGAUUGUGGGUUCACAGGAAGUGAUUUAAACAAGUGUCUGGCAGAAGUCACUCUCUGUUCCUGUGUGUCCUCUUUUCCUGCUGCCCUUUGCCUGCUCUGCUUCUCCCUGGGACUGGCCAUGUUGCUUCCUCCAGAACCUGAACACAUGUAGCAGAACCUUGUUAACUCAUCUUAAAGACUCAUGGCUCCUGCCAACAUGACUAGCCAAUCUUUGCACUUUGCUUAUUUUGUUGUACCUAAAUAACUGCAAUGCAAUAAGUCUACCAUUUGUUUAAGUCCCAAACAAAGCUGCAUUCAAGUUUUUUAUUGGAGGA